rnacentral:rRNA from 1 species
AUAUUAAGUGGGAAACGAAGUGGGAAGGCUUAGACAGCUAGGAUGUUGGCUUAGAAGCAGCCAUCAUUUAAAGAAAGCGUAAUAGCUCACUAGUCGAGUCGGCCUGCGCGGAAGAUGUAACGGGGCUGAAAUAUAGCACCGAAGCUGCGGCAUCAGGCGUAAGUCUGUUGGGUAGGGGAGCGUUCUGUAAGCGGAUGAAGGUUAAUCGAGAGGUUAGCUGGACGUAUCAGAAGUGCGAAUGCUGACAUAAGUAACGAUAAAACGGGUGAAAAACCCGUUCGCCGGAAGACC